rnacentral:rRNA from 1 species
CCUACGGGUGGCUGCAGUGGGGAAUAUUGGACAAUGGGCGAAAGCCUGAUCCAGCCAUGCCGCGUGUGUGAAGAAGGCCUUCGGGUUGUAAAGCACUUUCAGUGGGGAAGAAAGCCUUGGGGCUAAUACCCUCGAGGAAGGACAUCACCCACAGAAGAAGCACCGGCUAACUCCGUGCCAGCAGCCGCGGUAAUACGGAGGGUGCGAGCGUUAAUCGGAAUUACUGGGCGUAAAGCGCGCGUAGGCGGUCUGAUAAGCCGGUUGUGAAAGCCCCGGGCUCAACCUGGGAACGGCAUCCGGAACUGUCAGGCUUGAGUGCGAGAGAGGAUGGCAGAAUUCGCGAUGUAGCGGUGAAAUGCAUAGAGAUGGGGAGGAAUACCAGUGGCGAAGGCGGCCUUCUGAGCUGACACUGACGCUGAGGUGCGAAAGCGUGGGUAGCAAACAGGAUUAGAUACCCUGGUAGUC